GAUGAACGCUAGCGGCAGGCCUAAUACAUGCAAGUCGAACGGUGUCUUCGGACAUAGUGGCGCACGGGUGCGUAACACGUAUGCAACCUACCUUACAUUGGGGGAUAGCCUUUCGAAAGGGAGAUUAAUACCGCAUAAGACAGUAACUAGGCAUCUAGUAGCUGUUAAAGAUUUAUCGAUGUAAGCUGGGCAUGCGUCCAAUUAGCUAGUUGGUGAGGUAACGGCUCACCAAGGCAAUGAUUGGUAGGGGAACUGAGAGGUCAAUCCCCCACACUGGCACUGAGAUACGGGCCAGACUCCUACGGGAGGCAGCAGUAGGGAAUAUUGGGCAAUGGACGCAAGUCUGACCCAGCCAUGCCGCGUGCAGGAUGAAGGCGUUAUGCGUUGUAGACUGCUUUUAUACAGGAAGAAACGACUCUUGCGAGAGGCAUUGACGGUACUGUAUGAAUAAGCACCGGCUAACUCCGUGCCAACAGCCGCCGUAACAC
rnacentral:rRNA from 1 species